rnacentral:lncRNA from 1 species
AGCAACCGGCAAGAGUUUCUGAAAGCAUAGAAGACACCAGAAACACCUGCAUCUAGAACCCUUCAGACAUGUACUGGAUUCCGCACCUAGAAGAAUACAUCCGUAGUCCACCCUGGAGAAGGUGUUUUCUUUAUCUAAAGACAACGUAAACCCCUAGCAAGACCUUGCCUGAGCGCCUCUGCUCCUUACCUGUAGGCCAGGGCCGCGGGUCUCUGAGAGCAGGCUGCCUCCUGGGGAGGUGGGCCUGCACCAGCCAGGGGCCCCCUCUGAGUCUGUGCUGGGGUCUCUCUCCCUCUUUCCGUUCUGCCGGGCCCAGGUGUCCCAGCUCAGCCACACCAGGGCUGGAAGUACAAACAUGGCAGCUUGUGGCCUGGCGCAGGCUGACCGACGGGGACAGCCCAGUGCUCCACACUGCAGCCCACGGCCGCCUGUGCCCUGGAAUUUUCUGCUUGGUUCACCAAUUCCUAGCUGGACCCAUCAGUGGCUUUGGUGCUGAACAAGGCGGGCAUUCAGUCUUCCGCUCAGCAAUUAAAAGGCUUUGGGGACAGGACCUCCAUCAGCUUCCAGACAGUGAUCUGGGUCACCAGCGAGGGUCUUGCAACGUGGCCCUCUGUGAGUUUUUCAGUCAUUGUUUCCCCUGUGUCCGACCGUAACAUCUUGAGAAGGAUGAGAAUCAUCUCAGCAGGUGACAGAAAUAGUUAAGGGCUCCCGACGUCCAAGUGGGAACUCCAGGUGGGCAAGGUUGGUUUUCAUUCCCCCAAAUCCAGUGACCCUCGGUGCAAACUUGGCAGACGACUCAGAUGCUUCCUCGCCUUCCUACGCUGCAUGUGUCAGUCACACCCCGUGCUGGCUCUACCUUCAAAUAUGAUCCAGGAUCGACCACUGCUCCCACCUCCAGGGCCCCCACCAUCUCUGCCUGGGCUCCUGCCACAGGCUCCAGCCCUCCACCCACUACCGUCACUUCUCAGCACGGCAGCCGGCACAACCCUGUUAAAAUUGAUGCCGAAUCACAUCAUUCUCCUGCUCAGAGCCUUUUGAUGGCCCCAUGUCACUCCAAGUACAAGUUCAAGCCCUGUGUGCGCCAGGUCCCCAACUCUAACCCUGCCCUGCUCCUGACCUCGGCUCCCUCCCUCCACACCUGCACAGAUGUGUUUUCCUCGGGGCUCCUCCCCCGACUGGCUCCCCCAAAAUCACAACCCACACUUUACUCAUCUUCCAUCUAAGAGACUCAGCUCUGCUUCCCGGACUCUGCUGGGUUUUGGGGGGUUUGAAAUAGCACUUCCCGCCUCCUGGCACACGAGUGUUGAAGUUACGUGUUGAUUCUCUGGUCUAUGACCUGACCUGCUCUGAGGGUCUGCACGGCACAGAUUUGUGUCUACAGGGUUAACCGGUGGCUCCCAG